GAUGAACGCUAGCGGCAGGCCUAACACAUGCAAGUCGAGGGGUAGAGGAAGCUUGCUUCCUUGAGACCGGCGCACGGGUGCGUAACGCGUAUGCAAUCUACCUUGUACAGAGGGAUAGCCCAGAGAAAUUUGGAUUAAUACCUCAUAGUAUUAUUGAAUGGCAUCAUUUAAUAAUUAAAGUUCCAACGGUACAAGAUGAGCAUGCGUCCUAUUAGCUAGUUGGUGUGGUAACGGCAUAACAAGGCUACGAUAGGUAGGGGUCCUGAGAGGGAGAUCCCCCACACUGGUACUGAGACACGGACCAGACUCUUACGGGAGGCAGCAGUGAGGAAUAUUGGACAAUGGGCGCAAGCCUGAUCCAGCCAUGCCGCGUGCAGGAAGACGCAUCUAUGGUGUGUAAACUGCUUUUGUACGGGAAGAAACACUCUCUCGUGAGGGAGCUUGACGGUACCGUAAGAAUAAGGAUCGGCUAACUCCGUGCCAGCCGCCGCGGUAAAAC
rnacentral:rRNA from 1 species